rnacentral:rRNA from 1 species
UGCAUCCGAUACGGUCGAGCUAGAGUUUGGUAGGGGAGACUGGAAUUCCUGGUGUAGCGGUGGAAUGCGCAGAUAUCAGGAGGAACACCGAUGGCGAAGGCAGGUCUCUGGGCCAAUACUGACACUGAGGAGCGAAAGCGUGGGGAGCGAACAGGAUUAGAUACCCUGGUAGUCCACGCCGUAAACGAUGGGCGCUAGUUGUGCGAACCUUCCACGGUUUGUGCGACGCAGCUAACGCAUUAAGCGCCCCGCCUGGGGAGUACGAUCGCAAGAUUAAAACUCAAAGGAAUUGACGGGGCCCCGCACAAGCAGCGGAGCAUGCGGCUUAAUUCGACGCAACGCGAAGAACCUUACCAAGGCUUGACAUAUACAGGAAUACGGCAGAGAUGUCGUAGCCGCAAGGUCUGUAUACAGGUGGUGCAUGGUUGUCGUCAGCUCGUGUCGUGAGAUGUUGGGUUAAGUCCCGCAACGAGCGCAACCCUCGUUCUGUGUUGCCAGCAUUUAGUUGGGGACUCACAGGAGACUGCCGGGGUUAACUCGGAGGAAGGUGGGGAUGACGUCAAAUCAUCAUGCCCCUUAUGCCUUGGGCUGCACGCAUGCUACAAUGGCUGGUACAAACGGCUGCAAUACCGCAAGGUGGAGCGAAUCCGAUAAAGCCAGUCUCAGUUCGGAUUGGGGUCUGCAACUCGACCCCAUGAAGUCGGAGUUGCUAGUAAUCGUAGAUCAGCAACGCUACGGUGAAUACGUUCCCGGGGCUUGUACACACCGCCCGUCACAUCACGAAAGUCGGUAACACCCAAAGUCAGUGGCCCAACCGCAAGGAGGGAGCUGCCAAAGGUGGGAUCGGUGAUUGGGAUGAAGUCGUAACAAGGUAACC